UAACCCUACCUAACUCCACCAAACCACAACCAAACAUUAUUUUCUAUUCAUAAAAACCCACUAUCCUUCUUAUCCCAUCUACUCCAACCAAACACUAUUUUUCACUAUUAGCUAACCCCACCUAACUCCACCAAAUCCCAACCAAACAUUAUUUUCUAUUCAUAAUAACCCACUAUCCUUCUUAUCCCACCUACUCCAACCAAACACUAUUUUUCACUAUCCUGAACUAACUCCAACCCCCAACCAAACACAAAAAUACUCUACCCCCACCUUAACUCUGAACUUAACCCUAUCCCUGGAAUAACUAGUUUUUCCUUAACCCCGAACCAAACGGUAGCUUAGGGUCUAGUCAGCCUUUUUGCUCUAGCACACUUACUUAGAGUAAAA
rnacentral:lncRNA from 1 species